rnacentral:rRNA from 1 species
AGCAGCAGCCACGGGAAUACGAAGGGUGCAAGCGUUACUCGGAAUUACUGGGCGUAAAGCGUGCGUAGGUGGUGGUUUAAGUCCGUUGUGAAAGCCCUGGGCUCAACCUGGGAAUUGCAGUGGAUACUGGGUCACUAGAGUGUGGUAGAGGAUAGUGGAAUUUCCGGUGUAGCAGUGAAAUGCGUAGAGAUCGGAAGGAACAUCUGUGGCGAAGGCGACUAUCUGGGCCAACACUGACACUGAGGCACGAAAGCGUGGGGAGCAAACAGGAUUAGAUACCCCCGUAGUCCCUGUCUCUUAUAU